UGGCUGCUUCUGAGUUUUAUGGUAAAGACAAGACUUAUGAUCUAAACUUCAAAGAAGAGAAUAAUGAUGGCUCACAAAAGAUAUCAGGUUAUGACUGAAGGCUCUCAUUUCAUUGGAAAGUUUGGAAGCUACUGCAAGUUCUUUCUACUUGCUAGGGAUGAGAAUAUUUUAGUUUGUGCACAAGAGAAUCUUUUAAGUUUGUGCACAUGAGAAUCUUUCAAGUUUGUAUUUGUUAGGGAUUUGUUAUGUUAGUACUUGUUACUGACUUUUAGUUCAACAAAUUAUAUUUGAGUAUUGACUUUU